GCGCCAGGCGACUGGGUCUGAGGAGGCAGGAGUUAUUCAUUCCCUUAAGCUUUCAGGCCGGGGGGAGAAUCUUUCAGAAUACUUCUGUUGGGUUGAAUGACUCUCUGCCCCCAGCUUUCAGAGUGACUAACCAUACCAGUUUGACCAAGACUGUAUUGGCUGCAGCACUUAAAAGCUCACAUCCCGGAAAUCCUUUGGUCCUCGGUGAAUUGGGAUGGUUGGUUACCCUAUUACUGAUGAUUGUAAUUCUCAGGAAAGAGAUCUUCAUGUAAACAGAGUCCCUCUUAUUGGCUGAAGUGAAGAGUCAUUCUGAGGAGGAUCUGAAAAUGUAGAGGUGAGACGCUAAUGGCAGAGUGGCCUCAGCUUUCACCAGGUUUUGAAAACAUCUGUGAGGGAGGCACCAAAUUCACUGUCCUGCAGCUUUGACUUCCCAAUCCUCGUUGCCUCGUGCUGCCAGCCUGUAUGCUGGUAGAAGUGUGUUCCUGGGAACAUCCUGGCAUCUUGUGUUAGGACUACACUGGUGCAUGGGACAGAUCACGCUCAAGAAGGUCGAUGUAAUUUGAAAAACAGAUGGGCUCUGCUUUGUGAAAACUCCAAGCAUAUGAAGUCUAACUUGAAUAAAAGGCAUCUCAAGAUGAAGGUUUCCUAUUUGUGAUUAUGAAAAAAAUGUCAAGAACAAGUCCCUUGGUGUUCUUAGACCAAAGUCAGAACAACAGACCUAGUAUUUGUCUGGGGCUGGCUGUGCACCCAGAAGGCCAUUCGUUCCAUGAAGAACAUGACAGAGGUACCUGGUCCUACCUGGAUUCUUGGGCAUGCGGGCAGCAGCAGCAGCAGCAGCCACAGUGAACUUCAUCCUAAGGAAAUUAAGCACACGUUGCGUGAGGCUGCUGUGGGGGUGCCAGGUCAGAUUCUCCAGUGGUAGAACCUGAGAUGAGAAUUCAUGGGCAAGGAUUUACUGAGAAUGUUCCCCCAGAAGAAUUGUGUAGGGUGAUGGGAGAAGCAGCCCAGGGAAGGGAAAGGAGCCAGCCAGGCAAGAUGUGACUUCAGGCAAAUCUCAGCCUCAGCCUGAUCCUAUGGGGAGCUCAGGAGUGUAAAUCUCCCCCCAGAUUUUUUUCUCAACUGGCAGAAAAAGAAGUGGGGUUUCAUACUCCCCCUACAAUUGGUCCUUGCCUAAGAGCCACUGGGAGAGGCAUAAACUCCCAGGCACUUCUGGUUAUCUUCCCUGUAAGCAGAGCAGCCCUCAUAGCCUGCGGCAGCUCCUUAAAAAGAAUCACAAGUAUAGGAAAGUGCCCAAAGAAGGGGGGGAAGUGGGGAUAGGACCCACAGGAGACUGUAAGAAGGAUUCAAGGUGGUGUGAGAGGAGAACAGCCGAGUCUGCUGUCCCCAAUAAGGAGUAUUGAGUACUCUGUGCCUACAAGGUGGGAGCUGGGGGAGGAGCCCCACCCCAAGGCAGAGUACCUACAGUCUAUAUAGAUUUUAAGGACCUCUAAAAUAUUUGAGAUCUAAAAACUAAAAAAAUAAUAAUAAUAAUAA
ensembl:lncRNA LINC01524 long intergenic non-protein coding RNA 1524